CUUUUUCAGACGAUAGAUCCUUCAGGAGCAACCUCCCAAGAAAUGCCGUUGCUCUGGCACUGGGUGAUUUAUUACUUUGUUUUCAGCAACAAGACGAUGGGACUCAAGAUGGCAGUCAUUGAUUACCAAAUAUCUGCGACCAAGUCAAGUCCUCGUUGAUAAUGUGAUAAGUCAACAUUCCCUAAAUGAUAUCAAUUUAAUGCCCAAAAUUAAUUCCAACUGAAUACACACAGUUUUACAAAAAUUUUGUAAAAAUUACUAUAUGCACAUAAAUAGUAAUUCUGCAUCAAUUAUACUAUUCUUUUUGUAAUUACAAUGUUUCUGUUAAUACUUAACAUGUCAGUUGCUCUCAUUGCUGACUMUCUACAAUACCAUAAUACUUUUUCGAUAACAAAAACUUUGGGGGGCGGGGUGGGUAGUUUUCAGUCAUUUUUUCACAUAGGAGAAAAAUUUCAUU